GAUGAACGCUGGCGGCGUGCCUAAUACAUGCAAGUCGAGCGGACGGACGAGAAGCUUUCUUUUCUGACUUUCGCGGCGGACGGGUGUGUAACACGUGGAUAACCCACCUAUAAGACUGGGAUAACUUCGGGAAACCGGAGCUUAUACCGGCUAAUCUUUUGAACCGCAUGGUUCAAAAGUGAAAGACGGCCUUGCUGUCACUUAUCGCUGGAUCCGCGCUGCAUUAGCUAGUUGGUAAGGUAACGGCUUACCAAGGCAACGAUGCAUAGCCGACCUGAGAGGGUGAUCAGCCACACUGGAACUGAGACAUGGUCCAGACUCCUACGGGAGGCAGCAGUAGGGAAUCUUCCGCAAUGGGCGAAAGCCUGACGGAGCAACGCCGCGUGAGUGAUGAAGGUCUUCGGAUCGUAAAACUCUGUUAGUAGGGAAGAACAUAUGUGUAAGUAACUGUGCACAUCUUGACGGUACCUAAUCAGAAAGCCACGGCUAACUACGUG
rnacentral:rRNA from 1 species